rnacentral:rRNA from 1 species
CGGGUGAGUAACGCGUAUGCGACCUGCCCGUUGCAGGGGGAUAAUCGGGAGAAAUCCCGGUCUAAUACCGCGUAACGCCGCGGGGCUGCAUGGCCCUGCGGCCAAAGGGAGCGAUUCCGGCAACGGAUGGGCAUGCGUGACAUUAGCUAGUUGGCGGGGCAACGGCCCACCAAGGCGACGAUCAGUAGCCGGCCUGAGAGGGCGGACGGCCACACUGGGACUGAGACACGGCCCAGACUCCUACGGGAGGCAGCAG